rnacentral:rRNA from 1 species
GCGGCGUGCUUAACACAUGCAAGUCGAACGAUGAUCCCAGCUUGCUGGGGGAUUAGUGGCGAACGGGUGAGUAACACGUGAGUAACCUGCCCUUGACUCUGGGAUAAGCCUGGGAAACUGGGUCUAAUACCGGAUACGACCAUCUGGCGCAUGUCAUGGUGGUGGAAAGCUUUUGUGGUUUUGGAUGGACUCGCGGCCUAUCAGCUUGUUGGUGGGGUAAUGGCCUACCAAGGCGACGACGGGUAGCCGGCCUGAGAGGGUGACCGGCCACACUGGGACUGAGACACGGCCCAGACUCCUACGGGAGGCAGCAGUGGGGAAUAUUGCACAAUGGGCGCAAGCCUGAUGCA